rnacentral:rRNA from 1 species
AGGACGAACGCUGGCGGCGUGCUUAACACAUGCAAGUCGAGCGAGGCCCUUCCUUCGGGAAGGAGCCCUAGCGGCGAACGGGUGAGUAACACGUGGGCAACCUGCCCCUAGCACUGGGAUAACUCCGGGAAACCGGGGCUAAUACCGGAUAUGACCUUUGAGGGCAUCCUCUUUGGUGUAAAGGAUUCUGGCUAGGGAUGGGCCCGCGGCCUAUCAGCUUGUUGGUGGGGUAAAGGCCUACCAAGGCGACGACGGGUAGCCGGCCUGAGAGGGCGACCGGCCACACUGGGACUGAGACACGGCCCAGACUCCUACGGGAGGCAGCAGUGGGGAAUAUUGCACAAUGGGCGAAAGCCUGAUGCAGCGACGCCGCGUGAGGGAUGACUGCCUUCGGUGUAAACCUCUUUCAGCAGGACGAAGCGAAAGUGACGGUACCUGCAGAAGAAGCACCGGCCAACUACGUAGCCAGCAGCCGC